CACAGCUUUACCCUCUCCAAGCAGAGCAGUUGUGUACUCCAAGUGAAGGACCAUGUGAACUUCUGGAGAAUUUUAACACAGAUGUACUGAGCAGCCACAAGUUUUCAGAGCUUUCAAGCUGAAGUCACAGCUGAACAGCAGUUUGAAAAUCCCAACUUGAGAGACUACUUAGGAGGAGGAAAAGUUUCCACUUCUAAGUCUUUCCAAAGCCAGACUUUGUUGUAAGAGAUGGAAAAUCUGGGACUGAAAUCAUGUCAAUGAGUACCUGGGUCCUGCUGCUGCCCCCUCCCUUCCCUGUGCCCUGGUGCACCCUGGAGAGAGCAGAGAGGGGCAUGUGCUGGUUCCAGUGUGAGAAUCAUGAAGCCUGGAUUAUUCACACAAAUUCUGGGGCAGUCUUCUGGCUUUUAAAUACUUCCU